rnacentral:rRNA from 1 species
AGGUCUUGACAUCCAUAGCCAGUCUAAGAGAUUAGAUGUUCCCUUCGGGGACUAUGAGACAGGUGGUGCAUGGCU